rnacentral:lncRNA from 10 species
ACCAGCUGGCGUCACUCGCAGGCUCCAGACGCCGCCAUUUCGCCAAGCCGAGGUCUCUUGGUUGCGGCACUGCUUCUGGCUCGGUGCCUGUAUUUUCUCGGUGCCUACAGCGCCCAGGUCGCCGAUCUGAGGGCUUCGGAGUACCGGCCGGGCGCGGUGGCUCACGCCUGUAAUCCCAGCACUUUGGGAGGCCGAGGCGGGCGGAUCAGGAGGUCAGGAGAUCGAGACCAUCCUGGCUAACACGGGCUUUGACUCCUGAGUCUAAAAAGGUCACUAACUCCCGCUAAAUUGAGAGCAAUUGAAGCCUCAUCUUCAGAUCUAGGAGAAGAUGAAAAUCAGAAUAAGCUGCAGUCAUGAGACAUGGCGCCAGAAAUUAAGACUAUUCAAACCCUCUAGUCCCAGGGACUAUUGAAGAAGAAGUGGAUAAGGUCUAGAUCUGUCACCCAGGCUGGAGUACAGUGGCAUAGUCCUA